rnacentral:tRNA from 2 species
GCCGAAAUAGCUCAGUUGGCAGAGCAACGCAUUCGUAAUGCGUAGGUCGCGGGUUCGAGUCCCGCCUUCGGCU